rnacentral:rRNA from 1 species
ACGAGAAACUAAUUAGCUUGCUAAGAGGUGGACAGUGGCGCAAGGGAGAGUAACGCGUGGUUACUUGCCCUCGAGACCGGGAUAGUGUCGGGAAACUGGCAGUAAUACCGGAUAACAUCUUCGGAUCAAAUGGUGUGAUUCCGCUCGAGGAUAGGACCGCGUACUAUUAGCUUGUUGGUGAGGUAACGGCUCACCAAGGCUGCGAUGGUUACCGGGUGUGAGAGCAUGGCCCGGCUCACUGGGACUGAGACACUGCCCAGACACCUACGGGUGGCUGCAGUCGAGAAUCUUCGGCAAUGGACGAAAGUCUGACCGAGCGACGCCGCGUGCGGGAUGAAGGCCCUCGGGUUGUAAACCGCUGUCAGUAGUUAGGAAAUCCAUGAGGGUUAUCUCUCAUGGUUGACCGAUCUUCAGAGGAAGGACGGGCUAAGUUCGUGCCAGCAGCCGCGGUAAGACGAACCGUCCAAACGUUAUUCGGUAUCACUGGGCUUAAAGCGUGCGUAGGCGGCUUGGUAGGUGAGAUGUGAAAGCCCACGGCUCAACCGUGGAAUUGCGUUUCAAACCCCCAAGCUC